CUCAUAUUUUGUUUUUAACCUUAAAGUUUAGACCCAACAUAGUAAUAUAAACACAAAUUCAGAGGACAUAGGCAUAGAGUAUUAGCAGACUAAAAAAAGGUAAGUUUUAGAAAGAACAAAACAAUUAUGUUUCUAAACAUUUGUGGAUCUCAAGCAAUGGCCAGACUGUAUAGAAAUUUCAUCAAUGCUAACGUUCCUGGGGGGUUGGUGUCAAGUGUCAUAAUCUAUAGGAAAGCAGUGUGUCGUAGGAUGUAUCAUACCCAUCAACAUGGUGGUGACAUUUAAUGGCCCUGGUCUUUGCAACCCUAGGAAACAUGGUGACGAUAUAAGUUAAAGAAUAGAGCUUUAUGAUGAAAGACACUUGUCAUGUGAUGAAUUAGGAAAAGAUUGAAAAUGGGAAGGAAUUCUAUGAACUCUUAACCCUAUGGGCAUGGAAUAAUAAGGAAAGGAUGGAACAAUAGCUUUGAUCCUACUGUACAUUUAUAACCAUGUGAAGAGUGUUUCAUGUGUAAGAAUAAAUUUUAUCAGGGGACAGAUAUGAGGCUGAUGGAAACAUGGGCAGAUUAUGUAUAAUCCUAACCAAUAUCAGGCCUUAUUUGAUGAAAGCAAUUGUAACUCACAGGCAACAAAUUGAACAAACAAGAGAACAGCUGCAACAGGCAGAGCUCACCUUCAGACAUCAGAUCGCAGUUUAUGAGAAGAAUGCUCAGGACAACUGGGUGUUUUCUUUUUUCCUCCUCUCUCUCUUUGGUGCAUAGUCUGGCACAACUGAAGGUGGGUAUGUUUAUCUCCCCCAUAUCAAGAUUCAAGUCUGGGAGAGGGAGAUGACAGAGCAGAGCAGGGAGGUCACCUACUUGAAAUACAGGUAUGGUAGUUUGACUUGUGUUUUUAUGGAUGUUUCCAGGGAUGAUGCCUGUGCUGUUAUUUAGUAGAGUACGUGGUGUUGCAACUCUUAUAGAAGUCCAUUCUUUUUCUUUAUCCAAGAGUGGAUGUGAUGGAAGGAAAGAGGCUGCCUGUGGGAUGCCCGAGGCAGAAACCAAUGCCUGGAAGACUGCUGUGCAGCCUGUUCCUGUGGGUGAUCAUCGUGUGGCCUGAAAAGAAU
rnacentral:lncRNA from 1 species